AAUUAAAAAUUUAUUGUUGAGAUUUUAUUUAUUUAUUUUUAAUAAAAAUAAUUUUAUUAAUGUUAAUUUUUAGUAUAUUUUAUAGAAAAAAUUUAAUUAAUAAUAGUUUAAUUGUAUUGUAAAAGAUUAUUGAAAUAAUAUAUUAUUUAUUUUAAAGUAAAAUUAAUUUUUUGUACCUUGUGUAUCAGGGUUUAUUAAAUAAAUAUUAAUUAGUUUAAUUUUCUCGAUUUUAAGAGAGCUAAUAAAUUAUUUUUUUUAUUGUAAAAAAAAUAUUUAUAAUAAUUUAUUGGUAAUGAAAUGUUAUUCGUUCUUAAAUAUAUCUAGUUUAUUUAGAAAUGAAUUUAAUUCAGAUAUUUUAAUUUUAUUAUGUUAAUUUUUUAAUAUAAUAAAUUUUAUUAUUAAUAAUUAAAGGGAUAAGCUUUUAAUUAAAAAUUUAUAAAUAAAUAAAGUAAUUUAAAAAAUGUAAGUUUAGAAAUAGCUAUCAAUAAUAAUUUGUUAUAAUUAAUUUAAUAUUUUAAAUAUUAUUUUAUAUUAUUUUAAAUUUUUUAUAAAUAAGUAAUUUUUAAUUUUUUAAAAAUUAGUUAUAAUGAUAAAAUUAGUAUAUAAUAAAUAUUUAAAUAAUAAUGUAUUAAAGAUUAUUUAAAGGAAUUCGGCAAAAAUUUUACUCGCCUGUUUAACAAAAACAUGUCUUUUUGAGUUUUAUAUAUAAAGUCUAACCUGCCCACUGAAAUAUUUUGAAUGGCCGCAGUAAUUUGACUGUGCAAAGGUAGCAUAAUCAUUAGUUUUUUAAUUAAAAGCUUGUAUGAAGGGUUGGACGAAGUAAAAUCUGUCUCUAUUUAAUUUAAUAUAGAAUUUAAUUUUUAAGUUAAAAAGCUUAAAUUAUUAUAAAAGACAAGAAGACCCUAUAGAUCUUUAUAAUUUAUUUUAUAUAAUUAAUUAAGAUUAAUUUAAAUUUUAUUAAUAUAAUUAUUUUAUUGGGGUAAUAAAAAGAUUAAAUCAAUUCUUUUUUUUUAUUUACAUUUAUUUAUGAGUUUAAUGAUCCAUUUUUAAUGAUUAUAAGAUUAAGUUACCUUAGGGAUAACAGCGUAAUUUUUUUAAAGAGUUCAUAUCGAUAAAAAAGUUUGCGACCUCGAUGUUGGAUUAAAAAUUAAUUUAGGUGUAGAAGCUUAAAUUUUUGGUCUGUUCGACCAUUGAAUUUUUACAUGAUCUGAGUUCAGACCGGCGUAAGCCAGGUCGGUUUCUAUCUUUAUUUAAUUUAAAUAUUUUAGUACGAAAGGACCAAAUAUUUGAUAUAUUUAUAUUUUAAAUUUUGAAUAUUAUUA
rnacentral:rRNA from 1 species